rnacentral:rRNA from 1 species
GAUGAACGCUGGCGGCGUGCCUAAUACAUGCAAGUCGAGCGAACAGACGAGGAGCUUGCUCCUCUGACGUUAGCGGCGGACGGGUGAGUAACACGUGGAUAACCUACCUAUAAGACUGGGAUAACUUCGGGAAACCGGAGCUAAUACCGGAUAAUAUAUUGAACCGCAUGGUUCAAUAGUGAAAGACGGUUUUGCUGUCACUUAUAGAUGGAUCCGCGCCGCAUUAGCUAGUUGGUAAGGUAACGGCUUACCAAGGCAACGAUGCGUAGCCGACCUGAGAGGUGAAUCGGCCAAACUGAACCGAGGACACGGCCCAGACUCCUACGGGGGGCGGCAGUGGGGAACCUUCCGCAAUGGGCGAAAGCCUAACGAGGCACCGCGGCGUGAGUGAUGAAGGUCUUCGGAUCGUAAAACUCUGUUAUUGGGGAAAAACAAAUGUGAAGGUAACUAUGCCCGUCUUGACGGUACCUAUUCAGAAAGCCACGGCUAACUACGU